rnacentral:rRNA from 1 species
GACGUAGGGCGCGAGCGUUGUCCGGAUUUAUUGGGCGUAAAGAGCUCGUAGGCGGCUUGUUGCGUCGUCCGUGAAAACCUGUGGCUCAACCACAGGCUUGCGGUCGAUACGGGCGGGCUGGAGUUCGGUAGGGGAGACUGGAAUUCCUGGUGUAGCGGUGAAAUGCGCAGAUAUCAGGAGGAACACCAAUGGCGAAGGCAGCUCGCUGGGACGGUACUGACGCUGAGACGCGAAAGCGUGGGGAGCAAACAGG